rnacentral:rRNA from 1 species
UACUGGGAGAUAGCCCUCCGAAAGGAGGAUUAAUAUCCCAUGAUCGCCGAGGUGGCAUCACCUUGGUCUGAAAGCUCCGGCGGUACAGGAUGACCAUGCGCACGAUUAGCUAGUUGGUGAGGUAACGGCUCACCAAGGCUACGAUCGUUAGGGGGCCUGAGAGGGUUAUCCCCCACACUGGUACUGAGACACGGACCAGACUCCUACGGGAGGGCAGCAGUGAGGAAUAUUGCGCAAUGGAGGCAACUCUGACGCAGCCAUGCCGCGUGCAGGAAGAAGGCGCUACGCGUUGUAAACUGCUUUUAACCGGGUAAGAAACCCACGGACGUGUCCUGGGUUGACGGUACCGGAGGAAUAAGCACCGGCUAACUUCGUG